rnacentral:rRNA from 1 species
UACGUAGGGCGCGAGCGUUGUUCGGAUUUACUGGGCGUAAAGGGCGCGUAGGCGGCCAGCACAAGUCAGUUGUGAAAUCUCCGAGCUUAACUCGGAAAGGUCAACUGAUACUGUGCGGCUAGAGUGCGGAAGGGGCAACUGGAAUUCUUGGUGUAGCGGUGAAAUGCGUAGAUAUCAAGAGGAACACCUGCGGCGAAGGCGGGUUGCUGGGCCGACACUGACGCUGAGGCGCGAAAGCCAGGGGAGCGAACGGG